GAUGAACGCUGGCGGCGUGCCUAAUACAUGCAAGUCGAGCGAACGGACGAGAAGCUUGCUUCUCUGAUGUUAGCGGCGGACGGGUGAGUAACACGUGGAUAACCUACCUAUAAGACUGGGAUAACUUCGGGAAACCGGAGCUAAUACCGGAUAAUAUUUUGAACCGCAUGGUUCAAAAGUGAAAGACGGUUUUGCUGUCACUUAUAGAUGGAUCCGCGCUGCAUUAGCUAGUUGGUAAGGUAACGGCUUACCAAGGCAACGAUGCAUAGCCGACCUGAGAGGGUGAUCGGCCACACUGGAACUGAGACACGGUCCAGACUCCUACGGGAGGCAGCAGUAGGGAAUCUUCCGCAAUGGGCGAAAGCCUGACGGAGCAACGCCGCGUGAGUGAUGAAGGUCUUCGGAUCGUAAAACUCUGUUAUUAGGGAAGAACAUAUGUGGAAGUAACUGUGCACAUCUUGACGGUACCUAAUCAGAAAGCCACGGCUAACUACGUG
rnacentral:rRNA from 1 species